UAGGGAAUCUUCGGCAAUGGGGGGAACCCUGACCGAGCAACGCCGCGUGAGUGAAGAAGGUUUUCGGAUCGUAAAGCUCUGUUGUUAAGGAAGAACGAGUGUGAGAAUGGAAAGUUCAUACUGUGACGGUACUUAACCAGAAAGGGACGGCUAACUACGUGCCAGCAGCCGCGGUAAUACGUAGGUCCCGAGCGUUGUCCGGAUUUAUUGGGCGUAAAGCGAGCGCAGGCGGUUAGAUAAGUCUGAAGUUAAAGGCAGUGGCUCAACCAUUGUAGGCUUUGGAAACUGUUUAACUUGAGUGCAGAAGGGGAGAGUGGAAUUCCAUGUGUAGCGGUGAAAUGCGUAGAUAUAUGGAGGAACACCGGUGGCGAAAGCGGCUCUCUGGUCUGUAACUGACGCUGAUGUGCGAAAGCGUGGGGAUCAAACAGG
rnacentral:rRNA from 1 species